UUCACGCUCUUCUAAACAUUCUGAAUUAACCUACGGAUUUCAUCCAGCACCCAAAAGCUUCUAGACUUCCAAAUCCACCUUUUUAAAAGCCUGUCCGGGCCGCUUAAGCAAACAAACCGAUGCCUUACUUGAACUAGGACGAGCCAUUUCCAAGCAAAACUUCUGUCUCUUUGCCGACGAAGCCUUAAGCCCGCAGUGCGCUUGGGAAACCAGCCUUCUGGCGGUAAAUUGGAAGAGACACAUCGAGGAAGUACCUCCACCUGGGGAAAAGAAAAGAAGACGAAAAAGAAGCGGCCUAUUUCGGGGCGCGUUAAUUUUCUCUGCAAGCUGGCCGGCAACGGAGCUCUCCACAAAGAACCAGAAAAAGCAGAAGCCGCUGCAUCUCCUGAAUGGCAGAAGACGUUUCCUCCUGUCUUAGGAGUGGCUGAUGAGCCUUGAAGCACAGAACUUUUCCGUUUCUCUGAAGUGGAAGAUGCCUGACACCGUGAAGUGCUACUCCAUUUCCUUGUGGAAGCUGGUGCUUUACUGAGGCGCCCAGGACGAACAAAGACACCGUGUCGUGGUUUGCAGUGGAAGUACUCUUUGCCUUUUACAAUUCCAUCGUGCUUUCCUUCAACAAAAAGAAACGCACAGGAUUAAAUGUUGGUACUUUCAUUAGCACAUACAGUUGAGGUGCUGAAGCGUGAACAGCUUUGGUCAUCUGCAAAAUACUCAAAAUCGUUCAUGCUGAGUCAUGAGGCCAGAUGCUCACAAUACACUAGGGCGAACAAAACUUGGAAACGAGGGCUUGAAUUGUAACCAAAAAGACGAUUUUCUAAAAUAUUACUUUGUUAACUAACAGUUUAAAAAGUCAAGCACUUGUUCAUUUUACAGAAUAAACUGUCCUCCAAACCAAUUGCUUGCAAAGCUUAAAAUGUAGCUGCCAGACAAACUUCUGGUAUCAGUGAUAAUAUUUAUUAGCUAAACUACUAAAAACAUCAUCUUAACAGAACACUGCAGAACAUCUUGCAGAACACUGACUUUUUCCAACCCCUUCUGAACUGAAGUUAAAGAAAACCUGUAUCCUGGAAUUCAGCUUUCCCCACUGGAAAACAAAAAUAAACCUCUGAAAGCCACUGACAGCAAACCAGUUUGACAAGUGAUGCACGUUGUCAGCAAUGCCCAUGAAUGUGUGUGCAUGUUGCUUUUUUAAAAAAAUCUGCCCAUUUUUGGCUUUUCUUGUUUCUCUGAUCUGUAAAAACAGAUGGGUACCAAUGGGAACUACUACAACAUGCAAAAACAUUAUUCUGCAUAAAGCAAGAAGAGCAGGGCUUUAAGACAAAUAAAAGUUGAUUAGAAUAUCCCUAUAAACAGAAAGUGGAGAAUAUCAGAUACCAAACUUCAUGAAAUUGGAGAAACUUCCCAGGACUGAAUAGGAAUGAAUUGUACUGCAACUUUAAAAAUUGUUCACGCUAACUGCACAGAUAACCCAGAGCAUAUUUAGUCUUACCCAGCUGAACAUUUAGUUCAACUCCAACCCAGAUUCCAGCUGAAAAAUCCACCGUUCCAAUGUAUCUCACUGUGCCCAUCUUAUUACUUCCAACACAGACUUGCUCGCCCACAGCUACCCAGCUAGGCAAGACUUGGGCUUGAUCUGCAGAAGCACCUUCUUCACAAUCAGAACCAUCCAAGUGGUCCUUCGUAAGAAAAUCGUCUAUGGAAGUAUCAGGAUAAGUCUCAGGAUCUGAAGUCUCUUUUACCAGUACAGAACAAAAAGGGCUCUCCACAGCACCUGCAAGCCGGUCACCUGCUGCUGCUGCAGAGCUCUGCUGGCCCGCACAAGUGCUCUGCUCCUUGUCAGGACCUUGGGGUGACACUGAGGCGCUCACUCCAUUAGAGGACAGAAGGGAACAGGACUGCGGAGCCGUGGAAUGGUCAAAAUCCUUCCCAUCUUCAACGCCCAUGAACUCUGUAAAGGAGUGAUCUUCCAGAAUGUCUGUCGUGUGCUCCACUGUUACUUCGCGUGCUGAAAAUUCAAUUGUACAACAGGUAUUUUUGCUAUCCAAGGAACUCAGAGCUGAAAGUGAUCCAGUUCUGGGUAACCGCUGAGAGUCUCUGUCAGUGGCACUGAGGGACGGUGGUACUUGCUCCGUUAAGGCACUGUUUUCUUUCAGUGGUAACACUGGUAACUUUUCUUUUGCUAGCUCCUUUUCUGACUCUCGACAUUCCUUGUUCGAAGAAGAUCUUAAAUCAUGUGCAAGGAAUGAUCCUGCGGGAUCAUUAGAGUCCAGCUCCUUUGUGUGACUGGUUAGCUGGUCUGUGCUAUCACUACAGGGAACAAGCAUGUCAGACAGGGUAGCGUUAGAGGCACUGUGGGAAAAGUAGCCACUAGUAAUACUGCUAGUGGUGGGGCUGCGGGAUACCUCUUUCUCUAGAACACGUGAACUCAUGAAGUCUGAUUUAGAAGAGAACCACUCCCUGUUCUCCAGGCUAGCAUUGUAAAUACUGAAGUCAGCAAACUCCUCCGGUACAUAAGGCCGGAAAUUUUGAAAACUUUGUGGACUUAUCAGUUUCUUAUUAAUGGCCUCCAACUCACUGUCUUCCUCCUCAGAGUCCUGCAAAAGAACAGAGAGUUGAAUGGGAUUAGGAACCGAUGGCAGUGAGGUUUUCAAAAUAAGUUAACUUUCCUUGAUUUUUUUCUUUCUGAACGUGGAAAAAUAUAUACCUUUAAUAUUCUUUAACUGAAGAAUGGAAGACAGCAUUGAAAAGAGUGGCUGGGAACGUGUCCUGUCUACACUGAGCUAUUUAAUUUUUAGAAAAUAAAUUCUAAAUAGUUCAGAAAAUAUAAAACAAUAAAUGGAAAGUUAUGUUUACAUGUUUUCAUCCAUGUAUGAUAAACCUUUUACCCCCAUGAUUGCAACUAAUUAAACCUAUUGAAGGCAUUCUAUAGAGCUAAUUGACCACCUAACAAGAUAAAUAUAAAUAUGAAUGGGAGCCACAGUCUUUGCUUCAAUACCCAGGUUUCUGUUAAACUGAUAUCAGCAAAGCUAAAUAACCUUGUUUACCUGUGGCUAUCAUACCUGAACGCAUUCACAAUGCUUGAAAAUAAAGGCAAAAUUAUCAAAUACUACAGUGAAUCUUCAAGGAAGCAUUUGUGUGCAUACAUGUACAUGUCUGGAGGAAAAUAAGUGACACUAAUCAGCCUGGCAGAAUUUGGAGAUACCUCCUUGAAUUUCCCUUUGAUAAUGAGUGGGAAUGCACUGUGAGCAGACCCACAGAUGUGGCUUUCACAGAGUCCAUCAGAAGCUGAGGACUUCAGUCUGUAAAGAUGCAUCUGAGAAAGACCCCAGCAACAUGGUGGUGCUGCUCCCAUGAUAGAAAAUGCUGCAGGCAGGACUGCACAUGGAUGCUUUUUUAAGUUCUUCCUUUUUCUUAUACAUAUGGGCUUAUUUACAAAUGUAUGUGUGCAGGUAUAAACAUACAUAUAUGUAUACACACAUAUACGUAUUAAAAAUGGUUAGUUUACAGGAAAUUCCUACUAGAAAGAAUAGUAUUUUCAGAAAAAUGAAAACUACUGAAGUACUUCAGAGAAAUUCAAGGUCCUAUUAUAUCUCAGUUCCUUUAUCUGCAUCAUAGAUUUCAAACACUGAUCAAGGCACAUCCUGUGUGGUACCUAAAGUAGUUUGAUGCUUUCAGGCACCUGCUAUGAAUCACCAGUGUAAAAGGAAAAGCAUAAUAGUUAACCAGAUGACCACUGAGAACCAACGCAUCAGGAUAAACAGCCUCUUGAAAAUGUUUAUGAUACUUCGUAAUAGCCAAGACUGUUCAAAUAACUUUGUAUGACAAGGCCUCAUAUGAGCAGAAAAAAAGCAGGUUUGUUCAGUUUGCCCAUGUCAGAAUAAUGACAAAAUUGUUUAGGCUGGAAGGCAUCUCUUGAGGUGAAUUAGUCCAAUCUCCCACUGCUCAAGCAGGGGUCAGCCAGAGCAGACCAUCCAGAACAGUGUCCUGUUGGAUGGGUUUUGAGAUCUCCAAGGAUGGAGACGCUAUAACCUUCCUGCACAACUCAUGCCAGUGUUUGACCACCCUCACAGUAAACAAACUGUUUUCUUGUGUUCAGAUGGAAUCUUGUGUGUUUUGAUUUGUGCCCAUUGCCUCAUGUCCUGUCACUGGGCAUUGCUGAGAAGAGUCUGCCUUGUCUUCACCCCCUCCCCACCAGAUGUGUUUUGAAUACUCUAGAAAAGCUAAGAACAGAUCUCAGAGAAACAUGAGAAAAAGGCCCAACAUCAUUCUUACACCUACUUAGAUGCAGAACAUCAAUCUAGUUAAUAUUAUUAGUUUCCUGUAUUUUAGUUGCUUUACUUCUAUGGCAUCUUUUAAAUGCUGUAAGAUGCAAGUGAGCAUCCCACCUGAAGCAACACCAAUCAUCCAGUUUUAGGAGUAUGACUGAGGCUCUGUACCUUGGAGCAGUCAUUUACAGUAUUGAUUAAUGAUGUGAAAACUUCACUUUAGAUCAGAUAGAGAGGAGCAGACAGCUGAAGUUUCAUGUGGAGCUGUGAUGCUGCCCUGAUGUAAUCCUUGAACUCAUUCUGAGAGCACUGUUCAUCCAAAUGUAUGACAGAUAUGCUUCAGCCCAGUUAAAACAUAAGACUUGCUCCAGCUCUGAAAAACAUGGGGUAGCCGGCGAAGCCUACAUUCCACAAAAGCUUCUUUCCUAAAGUGAUAAAAAAACCCCAGAAGCCAUCAUUUGGUAAACACAACGCCAUAAGCUGUCAGGGUUACGCAGAGCAGCCGUCUCAACCUCCUCCCCACUAGUAGCUGCUAGUUCUUGCCUGUCUUUCCAGUACCCACUCAAGGGUCUAUAAGGUGAUGAGACAGAGGGCUAGAUCCAAAUGAAAUAUAACUCCAUGAUAGUCUAGACAUCGACCGGAUGGAUCAGUUCCCUUGAUCUGACUCCCUAUGCAACCAAACAAAAAGCUGUGUUCAUGCAAGGGAGAAGUCAGUGCAAAGGUUGGAACAAGCAGCUGAGAACUGAAAGAACAGCUCCUUCCAGGGUCCUGUUUGCUACAGCAGGUUUACAGCGUUCAGUGAAUUAGUUCCAUUCUAGUUGGAAAAGCCUGGUGGCAGGAUGUUGCCCUUUUCCAGCUCUGAAAGCCUCUGCAUAUCUUUGGAAAGCAGCACAAGCAAAUACCUGGGUUAAUUCAGGGCAUGUACGGGGUAGGACUUUGUUUUCACUCAAGGGAUUAAAACUGCCCUCAAGUUGCUAUGGAAAUUUUUGUAACAAUUUAUUUUCCAGGGAAUGUUUUUUCAACUCUUUAGAAGAUUUUGUCUUCCAAAUACCUUCAUGCUAUUUUGUAUCAGUGACUCAGUGCAAGUCAGCAUGUCAGCUACCUUAUGGAAAAUUAACAUGAUCAAAAAUGAAACAGCUGCCACCCCAAACCAGCAGCCAAGUUUCAAAUAUAUACACCAGAACACUCAGGACUCUU